UCGGGAUAUAGCUCAGCUUGGUAGAGCACCUGCUUUGGGAGUAGGGUGUCGUAGGUUCAAAUCCUACUAUCCCGAAC
rnacentral:tRNA from 1 species